GACCGAGCAACGCCGCGUGAACGAUGAAGUAUUUCGGUACGUAAAGUUCUUUUAUUAGGGAAGAAUAAAUGAUGGAAAAAUCAUUCUGACGGUACCUAAUGAAUAAGCCCCGGCUAACUAUGUGCCAGCAGCCGCGGUAAUACAUAGGGGGCAAGCGUUAUCCGGAAUUAUUGGGCGUAAAGGGUGCGUAGGCGGUUAAAUAAGUUUAUGGUCUAAGUGCAAUGCUCAACAUUGUGAUGCUAUAAAAACUGUUUAGCUAGAGUAAGAUAGAGGCAAGUGGAAUUCCAUGUGUAGUGGUAAAAUGCGUAAAUAUAUGGAGGAACACCAGUAGCGAAGGCGGCUUGCUGGGUCUUUACUGACGCUGAGGCACGAAAGCGUGGGGAGCAAACAGGAUUAGAUACCCUGGUAGUCCACGCCGUAAACGAUGAGUACUAAACGUUGGGUAAAACCAGUGUUGAAGUUAACACAUUAAGUACUCCGCCUGAGUAGUACGUACGCAAGUAUGAAACUUAAAGGAAUUGACGGGACUCCGCACAAGCGGUGGAUCAUGUUGUUUAAUUCGAAGGUACCCGAAAAACCUCACCAGGUCUUGACAUGCUUCUGCAAAGCUGUAGAAACACAGUGGAGGUUAUCAGUUGCACAGGUGGUGCAUGGUUGUCGUCAGCUCGUGUCGUGAGAUGUUGGGUUAAGUCCCGCAACGAGCGCAACCCUUAUUGUUAGUUACCAGCACGUAAUGGUGGGGACUUUAGCAAGACUGCCAGUGAUGAAUUGGAGGAAGGUGGGGACGACGUCAAAUCAUCAUGCCCCUUAUGACCUGGGCUACAAACGUGAUACAAUGGCUGUAA
rnacentral:rRNA from 1 species